UUGGAAUUUUGGACAAUGGGCGAAAGCCUGAUCCAGCGACGCCGCGUGGACGAUGAAGGCCUUCGGGUCGUAAAGUCCUUUUGCUCGGGGACAAUUUUUGAGCGUACCGAGAGAAUAAGAGGUUGCUAACUCUGUGCCAGCAGCAGCGGUAAUACAGAGACCUCAAGCGUUAUCCGGAAUCAUUGGGCGUAAAGCGUACCGAUAGGUGGUUUUACAAGUCAGAAGUGAAAUCUCAAGGCUUAACCUUGAGACUGUCUUUUGAAACUGUAAAACUUGAGGGGCAAAGAGGAAGCUGGAACAAGCGGUGUAGUAGUGAAAUGCGUUGAUAUCGCUUGGAACACCAAUAGCGUAGGCAAGCUUCUGGGUGCCACCUGACACUGCUAGGACGAAAGCGUGGGGAGCGAAUGGGAUUAGAUACCCCAGUAGUCCACGCUGUAAACGAUGUACAUUAGGUGCUAGGGAGUAUCGACCCUCUUUAGUACCAAAGCUAACGCGUUAAAUGUACCGCCUGGGGAGUACGGCCGCAAGGCUA
rnacentral:rRNA from 1 species